rfam:Camelus ferus unplaced genomic scaffold scaffold1231, whole genome shotgun sequence.
GAGGGUAUAGCUCAAGUGUUGGAGUACAUGCUUAGCAUGCAUGAAGUCCUGUGUUCAAUCCCCAGUACUUCCU